GGAGCGAUCCGGAGCAAAUCCCAGAAAGACCGUCCCAGUUCGGAUUGAAGCUGAAAUUCGACUUCAUGAAGCUGGAAUUGCUAGUAAUGGCAGGUCAGCAUACUGCCGUGAAUACGUUCCCGGGCCUUGUACACACCGCCCGUCACACCAUGAGAGUUGGGAAUACCCGAAGCCUGUGAGCUAACUGUAAAGAGGCAGCAGUCGAAGGUAGAAUCAAUGAUUGGGGUGAAGUCGUAACAAGGUAGC
rnacentral:rRNA from 1 species